rnacentral:lncRNA from 1 species
CCUCUCUCUCUUGUACUCUAAAUAAUUUUCUUUGUAAAAUUUUCUAAGUAAUUGAAUAAAAGUUUGCAAUUUGGUUGAUCUGCUGGGAGUUUGUCUUAAGGUACUUUUCUUAUUUUAUUUACUUCUUUUUAUGUAUUAGACCCAAAUGAUGGGAUAAACUAUUUGUGUUGAGUUGUAGCAUACUAAGUUACUAUAAUAACUGGUGUAUGUUGCUAUCAUGAAGAUAGUUUGAACAGUCAGAUUAAGGUCAUAAAUAGAUUACCCAGGCAUAGUUAUGAAAAAUCGCUGCAUUGAUUUAUUGUAUUACCCGUUGGAUUAUCCAUGUGGAGGGUGGACCCGAAAGGACCCGGAUAGUAAGGAUUUUCAUAUACUUUUGCCAAGAUUAAUCUAUGUUCGUAAAGGUUCCUCAUAGUCUGAUUGUGCGAUCCGUUUUCACUUUGGUAUCAGAGCCAUGGAAUUAUAGUAACUAUAGGUGUUAUAGUUCAACACAGUAGGAAAAAAGAGUAUGAUAUACCUCAGCCCUUAGAUCUACUUAAUAAUUGGACUAUUCCUAGAAUAUCACCUAUAAUCAUAUAUCAUAUGGGUACUUUCGAGAAGCUUGGUCUCAAACAGGUGGUUAAAACCACGGGAGAAACUAUCACUAUUGAUAGUGAUAAUCAGACUUUUAAAUUAUUAUCUGAAAAUGAUUUAGCCCCUUAUAGGGAUAUUUACCGUUUUAUGCAUAUUGGUUUAGUACAAGUGGCCUUUAAGCCCCUUACUUUACGUGGACUUCUUGAAAGCUUUAUAGCAGUUUUACGUGAUGGUAGAAAUUAUAACUGGAAGAAAUCUCUUAUAGGAACUAUACAAACUCGUCUAGCUUAUGGACCAGUUUAUUUUAAUGUUUAUCCUAACUUGCAGAUUUCCUUGCAGGAUGAGAACUCAUUAAGUUCGCUCAUGUUAAAUGUUAAACAUCAUGGUUAUGAUUAUAUACCUGGAAUUGAAGUUGUUUUUAUUUGUUAUAGAAUUUAUUAUAAACUUUUGCAUACUUUAAAUCCUAUGUGCAAAAUGAUUGAUUUCAAAAAUGAGACUAUUUUGAUAGAAACUAAUUUUGAUAAAUCUAAAGUAGUCACUAGAAGACCUAUCAAGUGGGAAGAAAUUGAUUUUCCACAAGAAUGGGUUAUUGAAAGUGCUACUCAACCCAGAAAUAAUAUUAAUUCGGAGAUUUCUGAAAUUGAACAGUUGAAUGAUGGAACUGUUAAAAUUAAAUUUUCUGAUAUUUCUGAUGUGCAUGAUAGAAUUGAGAAUCGUAGCAUAUCUUCUAGAAUGACUAGAUCUAAUUCCUCUUACAUUUCUAAUAUUGAUUAUAUUGUGCAAGCUCCUUCUCGUGCUUCUACUUCUCAAAUUAGAGAAAGUUAUAAUAUAAAAAUUGAUAAAGAUAACAUUGCUCGACCUAUUUCCAGGGCUAGCUCAGAUUUAGAUAUAACUGAAUUUGAAAUGAAUUUUCCAGAUGGAUUGACGACAUGAAAUUUGUUUUAUGAUGUCUGACAAACAAAUUGAUUUUAGUCCGGGUUCACCGGCAAGAGACAGAAUCGCUAAAGAUUUUCAGCGAAAGAAAUGGAAACUUUUCAGAAAAUGGUUCUUCAAAAAUUUUAAUAAAAAAGAACAAUAUGAUUUUCAUGAAGAAUUUUAUAAAGAUAUUAUGGACUCAGAAAUAAAUCGAUUAGUUGCUUUUGUUCCUUGAUUUAUGUGCAAGCAUGUUCAUAACUAUAUUUCUAUGUUAGAGAAAGAUUUUACUCUAAGCAAUGGAGAAAUUACUAAAUCAAUUUUUCCUCCGCAACAGUCUUUUCAUAUUAAUAGAAAUGAUAAGGUUGUUAACUUUAAUGCUUUUUCAAAAUUGUUUGAAAAUGAUACUGCUUUAGUUACUACUAGUCAUGUCAAUGCCAUGAUUAAGCAGAAUAACUAUGCAAACAUUUAUAUGAGCAUAUUGGGUGAACAUAUUGUUUCUUUGCAUGAUAAAGUUGAUAAACUAAUCUCUUUGUUACCUACCAAGAUGAAAGGUAAGGAAAAGAUGGCUCAUAGUAGUCUACAACCCCCACCAGUUAUUGAUAAUUUCAAGAUUAAAGAUUAUUCAGAUCUUGAGGAUUUCUUGGCAAAGAAAUUCAAAGGUGGUAGUCUCCAGCCUAUUAAUGCUAGAGACUUAUCUGAAGGAGAAACUAGUCAUAAGAAGGAAUUUUUUGAUGGUAUUAAUAAGAUCUCAGAAAACUAUGCUAGGAAACCAGUCCAAAGGAUGUAUUACUACCCUAGACCUACUCCUCAAGAUGCUUUGUUGGAGGAACAUGAACAUAUUAUAACUAAUAGUUAUAAUGGAAAGGAAAUCUAUGAAUGGAACAUAGACGGGUAUACAGAUAGGCAAAUCUAUACAACUGCUCGUCAAAUGUUGAUGUACAGCACUAUCUGUAAGAUUAAUAAAAAUAGUGAUAAGACUAUUGCUGAUAUGAUCACUGCAGGGUUUACAGGUCAAUUGAAAGGAUGGUGGGAUAACUAUCUCAAUCAAGAUCAAAGGGACAAGAUUCUCCAAGCAGUUCAACAAGAAGGAGAACAGUAUACUCAGAACGCAGUUUAUACAUUGGUCCUGAAUAUUAUAGAACGCUUCUCCGAAAGAUGGUCAGAUAAUAGUGAGACUAUUAGGACUCUGUUACAAAACCUUAGGUGUAAGACCCUUACAUCAUUUAGGUACUACAAGGAUGUUUUCUUAUGUAGAGUAAUGGAGUUACCUGAGUGUAAUAGCACUCAUUGGAAAUCAAAAUUUAUAGAUGGGUUACCUACUCUUUUUGCUGAAAGAGUAAGAAAGUCUUUAAGAGGAAACAAUACAAGUAUAAUUAUGAGGAUUAUACCUAUGGAAAACUUAUAAGUGCCUGCGUACAGGAAGGACUUUGCUUAUGCAAUGAGAUAAAGUUAAACCAAUAGAUGAAGCGACAUCGCUUAAAUGAAAAACAAUAAUUAAGAGAAUUUUGUGAACAAUUCGCAUUUGAUAUUCCUAAACAAAAGUCUAAGGACAAGGAAUAUACUCCUAAGAAAAAUAAAUCUUCCAAAAAGGAUUAUGAAAAAUGAAAGAAAAAGAAAAUAGAAAAGAAGCUUAGAAGAGCUGAAGAAGGUAAAUGAGACGCUUCUAAGAGAAAGAAAAAGUAUCUCCAUAAUUAUAAGAAGUCGGAUACUUGCCACAAAUGUGGAAGAUUUGGUCAUUAUGCAAAAGAUUGCAAAGUCAAGGAAAAGAUUAAAAGCCUUGAUGUAAGUGAUAGCAUAAAAAAUUCUCUUUAUAAGAUUAUUCUUAAUUCUGAUUUAGGAAGAUCAGAAUCAGAAGAUAGUAGCAGUGAUGAGUCCUCAACAAGUGAAGAUCUUAAGGCCCUUCAACAAGAAGAUUAUAUAACUUCAGAGGAUGAAUGUUCACCUUGUCAACAAGGUUUACAGUGUGAAAAGGAUGAAGAAGAGGAUGAUCUUUAUAAGAUCUAUUCUCAAUUUAAGGAAUUAAGUCUGAAUGUCAUUGAUAAUGACAAAGUACUAGAACUUUUACAAAGCAUUAUUAAUGAUCCAGAGAUAAGAGCUCAGCUUAUUGAUAAAAUCAGUAAUAAUACUCUAGUUAAGGAUCAUACUCCUAAGGAAAUCCCAACCAAAGAAGGUUCAUAUACCAUGGCAGAGGUUAAAAAUCUUCUACUAGAAAGGAGAAAGAUUAUAAGUUCUCCUACUACUAUUAGUGAUUUGAAGGAUGAGAUUAGUAAUCUCAAAGAAGACAUUGUUCGUCUUAAAGAAAAGAAUGUCGCUAUUGAGGCAAGACUUGAUGCUAUUCAAAGUCUCCAGGAUUUGGGUAAUGCCUCUGAUUCGUCAUCUUCUCUUGGAGGAGAAAACAAUAGUCUUGAUUUUAUGAAAAAUAAUAAAACAGAUUUUUUGCAUAGUCUUAAAGCUUUUACUUCUCAGAAGUUUUAUACAAAAAUCACUUUGCUUAUAGACUAUAUUUAUAAAAGAGAAUUUAUAGCUCUUAUUGACAGUGCUAUUGAUUUAAACUGUAUUCAAGAAGGACUUAUACCUUCAAGAUAUUUUCAUAAAACUACUCAUAGUCUUCGUUCUGCUAAUGGUAGCAAAAUGAAUAUUGAAUUUAAAUUACCAAAAACUUUUAUUUGUAAAGGAAAGAGUUGUGUUCCUCAAAGCUUUGUUUUAGUAAAAAAUAUCACCAACCAAAUUAUUUUGGGUGUCCCUUUUAUAAAUGAUAUUUUCCCUCUUACUCAUUGGGAUAAUAAUAAAAUUAUUGGAACUUGGAAUAACAACCCUUUCAUACUUGAGUUUGUUACAAAACCUUUUACUAGAAUGAUAAAUGAUCUGACUGCAAAAUUGAUUUUAAAAAAUAAUCCAGUUAGUUUUAUAAAACAAGAAAUCAAUAGUAUAGAAGUUGAUCAUAUUUUACAAAAUCCUAAAUUACAGGAAAAAAAUAAUAUUUUAAAUAGUCAAUUCUCUCUUGAUAUUUGUGGAGAUCAUCCUAAUACUUUCUGGAACAGGAAGAAGCAUGUAGUUAGUCUUUCAUAUGAAGAUAACUUUGAUGAGAUUAAUAUUCCUACUAAGGCUAGGCCAUGUCAAAUGAACUCAGAAUAUUUAGAGUUGUGCAAAAAGGAAAUCAGUUCCUUGCUUCAGAAAGGACUUAUAAGGUAGUCUAAGUCACCAUGGUCUUGUACGGUGUUCUAUGUUAAUAAACUUGCUGAGCAAGAAAGAGGAGCGCCAAGAUUGGUAAUAAAUUACAAACCGCUUAAUAAAACUUUACGAUGGAUCAUGUAUCCAAUUACUAAUAAGAAAGACUUAUUGGAUAGAGUUUAUGAUGCUACUAUAUAUUCUCUAAGUUUGAUCUGAAAUCAUGUUAUUGGAAAAUUCAGAUAGGUUCAAAACUGCUUUCAAUGUGCCAAUGGGACAAUUUGAAUUGAACGUUAUGCCUUUUGGUUUAAAAAAUGCUCCAUCAGAAUUCCAAAAAAUGAAUGAUAUUUUUAUACCUUAUAGCAAUUUUAUAAUUGUUUAUAUAGAUGAUAUCUUAGUAUUCUCCAAAAAUGUGGAAACUCAUUUUAAACAUCUUGAUUUAUUUAAAAAGAUUAUUACUCAAAAUGGUUUAGUUUGAUCUCAACCUAAGAUAGCAUUGUUUAAAACAAAUGCCAGAUUCCUUGGUCAUAAUAUUGAAAGAGGAAAUAUUAGUCCUAUCAAUAGAAGUAUUGAAUUUGCUUCUAAAUUUCCUGAUAUUAUUACUAACAAGACACAAUUACAGAGGUUUCUUGGAAGUCUUAAUUAUGUUGCUCCUUUUAUAAAGGAUUUAGCAAAAGACUCAACUGUUUUUUAUGACAGGUUGAAAAAUAAUCCUAAGGCUUGGUCAAAUUACCAUACGGAAGCAGUUAAAAGGAUUAAAGAGAAGGUUAAAAACCUUCCUUGUCUCACUUUGGCCAAUCCAAAUUGGGAAAAAAUGGUAGAAACUGAUGCUUCAAAUAUAGGAUAUGGUGGUAUCGUAACACAAUAUUGUCCUGAUAAUAAACGACAUUAUAUUGUACAAUUUUAUCUUGGCAAAUGGAACACAGCCCAGAAGAAUUAUGCCACUGUAGCUAAAGAAAUACUGGCUAUAGUGAAAUGUGUUCUUAAAUUUCAAGGCGGUCUUUAUAACCAAAAAUUCAGACUGAUUGCCAAACAGCUAAGUUUAUGUUUAACAAAGACUGUAAGCAUGAUGUUUCUAAACAGAUGUUUGCUAGAUGACAAGCUUUGUUGGCUCCUUUUGAUUUUGAAAUACAGUAUAAAAAAGGGGAAGAUAACAGUCCUCCAGAUUUUCUCACUCGAGAAUAUUUAGAUUAAUCUAAAUUGUUUUUCUUUGACAGGAUGAGCUUAAGACCAUCAGGUCCCUCUCCAAGGAAAAGAGGAGGAAGGGGAAGAAGUAAUUCAGGAAGAAGAGGCCAUAUCCUCGUCCAACAUGGAAAUAAGAAAUUGAUAGCAGCUAAUAGCAGCAGUUCAACAAGUGGAACAAGUGGUGUUGAUAUAAACCAUCCAAUGUACAAAGAAUUCAUGGAUUUUAUGAAAUCCAAGAAGGAAUCGAAUAAUAAUCCACCAUCCUCUUGGAUGAUGAAAACAUAGAAGUAUUUGAUUUGAAUGACAAAAGAGAAGUUAUACUUCUACUUGAAAACAGUGACCUAAGAUGGAAAAAUGAACCAUGGCAUGUAAUGUCCAGAUAUCAGGAUACAGUAUGUUAUAUUACUACUGUGUAUAAAUACAGAAUGGAUUAUGAGAUAAUACUCUCUGCCACAAGGUCAUGUGAAUUUCAACACUUCUAUCCAGCAAACACAAAAAAGUUUUAUAACUUUUCUAAGAUGAUUAUUAAAAAGAUCUUAGCACCUGAAGAAUAGGGUAUCAGCCCUUUGAAGAAAAUGGAUUAAAUCCAUUUCCUGAACAAAACGUCGCAGUAAAAUAUAACUACUGGGAUUACAUUGAUGGCUUUAAUAAAGCAAUGUUAUAUGAAAAUGCUAAUAAGAAGCAUUCAUGGUUUAUCAAGAUAUGCGGUAAUAUAUUUGGAAGUAUAUUCCGAAUUGGUUCUGCAAAUGGUGGACAUUAUAUGGUCCUUCAGUGAAAAUAUUACAUGAGUCAUAUAAAAAAUUAUAUUCAGAAUGGGUAGAUAUCUCCCAAAAAUUAUAAAUUUACUAGAUGAUAAUAUAUUCUUUGAAGGAAUGUCAAUAAUGUAUUUCUUUAUUGAAUUUUCUAUUCCAUGAAUCAUGAAAUAGUCGGUGGAAGUUAAUACCACUUCCGAUGGAUUCCCAUGUUUACAAAGGACAUUUUAUACCAAGUUCUGGAGUAAACUAUUACAGAAGGACCAGGAAGGAAAGGUUCAUGGUCAAGAAAUUCUUGAUUCAAUAAAUGGAAAAAUUAGCACAUAUUAUGAUAUUGCUACUUCAGAACCACAGGUGAUAGAGGAUCUGAGUCCAUUUAAGAAGAUCACAAGAAAACUUCAAAUGAAGAAAGGUUUGAUUUUGAAAUCAGAAGCCAUAUCUUUGAAUAUGGAAGAAGUGAAAAAAGAUUUAAUGAGAAAUCUUGAUAUUGAAAUCAAGGAUGAUAUCUCCAUGGCAUCAGCCAGCCAUACAAAUGAUGAUGAUGAUAAUUGCAUAGCUGGAGAGGGACAAGAUGCUGAUGAAGAGAUCGAUAUUAGACUCUUUUACAAAAAUAUCAACAACAGAUAAAAGAAUCUUCUAGCACCAGCAUCGUUGUCAAAGGGAAAAAUAAAGAAUGAAAACCCCACAGAUAGCGUAAUGAAAUACUCUAAUAGAGUUGUCGGCCACAUGUAAUAAGGCCAAAAUACUUUUAUAAAGUAAUAUUAGUGGAAGCCAAAAGUAAUGUCGGCUAGUAAAAUAAUGCAAGGUCAUAUGGGUGUGUCGGCCUUAUCGUUUUAUUAAUGGCCAUUGAAAAAGUGUGGAUCAGUACCUUUUUGUAAUUUUUAACUUUUAAAGGUUCCUCUCAUAUCUAUAUAAGAAGAAGAAAUGUGUGUAGUUAGAGGCAGGUUUUAGAACCCCCUCUCUCUCUUGUACUCUAAAUAAGUCUUUUGUAAAAUUUUCUAAGUAAUUGAAUAAAAGUUUGCAAUUUGGUUGAUCUGCUGGGAGUUCAUCUUAAGGUACUUUUCUUAUUUUAUUUAUUUCUUUUUAUGUAUUAGACCCAAAUGAUGGGUUAAACUGUUUGUGUUGAGCUGUAGCAUACUAAGUUACUAUAAUAACUGGUGUAUGUUGCUAUCAUGAAGAUAGUUUGAACAGUCAGAUUAAGGUCAUAUAUAGAUUACCCUGGCAUAGUUAUGAAAGAUCGCUGAAUUGAUCCAUUGGAUUACCCAUGUGGAAGGCGGACCCGGACGGACCGGAUAGUAAGGAUUUUCAUAUAUAUACUUCUAUCAGGAUUAAUCUAUGUUCGUAAAGGUUCCUCAUAGUCUGAUUGUGCG